rnacentral:rRNA from 1 species
UACGGGGGGAGCAAGCGUUGUUCGGAUUUACUGGGCGUAAAGGGCGCGUAGGCGGUCGUGACAAGUCACUUGUGAAAUCUCCGGGCUUAACUCGGAACGGUCAAGUGAUACUGUCGGACUAGAGUACAGAAGGGGCAACUGGAAUUCUCGGUGUAGCGGUGAAAUGCGUAGAUAUCGAGAGGAACACCUGCGGCGAAGGCGGGUUGCUGGGCUGUUACUGACGCUGAGGCGCGAAAGCCAGGGGAGCGAACGGG